rnacentral:rRNA from 1 species
UACAGAGGGGGCAAGCGUUAUUCGGAAUUAUUGGGCGUAAAGGGCGCGUAGGCGGCGAUUCAAGUGACGGGUGAAAUCCCUCGGCUUAACCGAGGAACUGCCUGUCAGACUGGGUUGCUUGAGACCGGGAGAGGCGAGUGGAAUUCCCAGUGUAGCGGUGAAAUGCGUAGAUAUCUGGAGGAACACCGGCGGCGAAGGCGGGUCUCUGGGCCGAUACUGACGCUGAGGAGCGAAAGCGUGGGGAGCAAACAGG